rnacentral:rRNA from 1 species
UACGGGGGGGAGCAAGCGUUGUUCGGAUUUACUGGGCGUAAAGGGCUCGUAGGCGGCCAACUAAGUCAGACGUGAAAUCCCUCGGCUUAACCGGGGAACUGCGUCUGAUACUGGAUGGCUUGAGUUCGGGAGAGGGAUGUGGAAUUCCAGGUGUAGCGGUGAAAUGCGUAGAUAUCUGGAGGAACACCGGUGGCGAAGGCGGCAUCCUGGACCGACACUGACGCUGAUGAGCGAAAGCCAGGGGAGCAAACGGG